rnacentral:RNase_P_RNA from 1 species
GGAGUCGGCCAGGCAAUCGCUCCGAUUCGUCGGGGAGGAAAGUCCGGGCUCCGCAGGGCAGGGUGCCAGGUAACACCUGGGGGGCGUGAGCCUACGGAAAGUGCAGCAGAAAAUAUACCGCCUCUUUAUCGGGGUAAGGGUGAAAUGGUGUGGUAAGAGCACACCGCGCGUCCGGCAACGGACGUGGCAGUGUAAACCCCACUCGGAGCAAGACCAAAUAGGAAUCCGUCAAUCGCUGCCCGCGAUGGGAUUCGGGUAGGUCGCUAUAGGUACCUGGCGACAAGUAUCACAGAUGAAUGAUUGUCCACGACAGAACCCGGCUUAUCGGCCGACUCCGGCU